UUCAGUUCAACAGAAAAUUCUUCAAUUUAGCAUUACCCACCUACAUGCUCCAAGGAUUAUUUUAGUUCCUGUUUUUGGGUUUAUCAUCAUUGGUUGGCUGCAGGCUAGGACAUAUUCAUUCAUUUAAAAGGACUCCAUAUGCUCCAUUGUAUUACAGUAUGUAGUUUGGAGAACAUUUCUUCAACUGAAAGCCUUUUUGUCAAGUGCUGAUGAGUUUAAUCUUGAAGAGAAGAUUAAGAAGAAAAAAGGAAAGUAAGGAAGUAGUGUUAAUUUUAUUAAAUCUUCAAUCAAACCCUCUGUUCAUGAGAUUCAUUGGAACAAUACCAGUUUUUAGAUCCUGUUCCACUGCUAGCCAUAGGCUGAUUGAUCCCUGUUGGUGUGACAAGAGGCAGAAAGAGAAAGGAAGAAAGAGAAGAUGAAGAGGAUGACAACACUUCCUUCAGGAUUCUCUCAACAACUGAACUAUUAUGCAUUAUAAUUAUAGUUGACUUUUAUCCUGACUUAUAUAGGCUUAUAAUAUAAUAACAGGUAAUACUAAUAAUAGAAUCAAUAAUACUCUUAAGUCCAAUAGUAAUAUAUUAAUAAGAGUUUGUAGUAAUAGUAAUAUUAAUGACGAUUUAUUAAUGGCCAAUAAUAAUUGUAAUGGUUCAAUUCCUUAUCACAGCAUUUCAAAGCAGGUAGAUCUGCCUUAUCACGCUGCACACCUCUCACACAUCCUGGGACUCCACCGCAUAUAUAUGGCCAAUGUAUGAUACAUUCUUAAGUUAUAUAGACUUAUGAUGAGUGUCAGAGCUGAUUUGGAUCAGUGCCUCGACACAGUGGAACUUUCUAGCACAAGGCACGGUAAGGCAGGGGAAGUCUCGGCAUGGGGAAGAGUUCCGGCGUGGAUAGAGUUCCCGCCGAGGAAAUGCAAAUUUGCAUAGUACGAUUGGCCGAUGUUAAAUUAUUCCCACGUGGCGGCUGGCAAUUGGCUCGCUAGCCGUGUAAAAGGUUGGGGGCAUUUCCGCCCUAGUUGGAGAACUCCGCGAUUCCCCCUGGAGUGGAACUCCAGCAGCUUGAUCACCUGCCAACAACUCCCCGUUGGCGAAGCCUUGCGACGUAUCCUCCGUGUUGCAUGCCCGAGUUAGACCCGAGCUACCUGGUCUACAAGAGCUGCUCGAUUAACGAUUAGAGAGUAGAAUUGUUGCAACUACGAUUGCCUGCGCUGUAUAUGACUCUACAGUGUAAGUAAAGCCAUCUCUGUUUUUCC